ensembl:lncRNA
AAGAACGAUGACAUGUAACCAAUGACAAAGUUAAGAGGCGUGACUUGCUGGAGGCCCCCCGCAUGCGAUGUAAAGACAGUAAUUAACCCACGCAGCAUCCACAGAAGUCAGCUGUUGUUUCAAGCGCGGAGUAUAUCGUUUCUGUUAGAUUGAGGACAGCCUGGUGAUGAUACAGAGUAUGGACACCCUACCUUGUGGCUGCACAUCAUGAGGGGAUUUUUUUUUCAUUGUUUUCUUUCAUGCUUGAAAGCUGAAGGUAAUUUUAACCUGAAUAGUGUAUCGUUGUUUACACGUUAAGCUAGAGAAAUGGCGAAAGAUAAUGCUAACAACAGACCAGACACGGAACAGCCAACAACCUCUACACACAAUCAAUCGAUCAAACCCCAAAAUACAAAUGAAUCAAUCAAUCAAAUGUAUUUAUAAAGCCCUUUUUACAACAGCAGUUGUCACAAAGUGCUUUACAGAGACACCCGGCCUUAAACCCCAAGGAGCAAACAACAGUAGUGUUGAAUUUCAGUGGCUAGGAAAAACUCCCUAAGAAGGUCGAAUUUUAGGAAGAAACCUAGAGAGGACCCAGGCUCAGAGGGGUGACCAGUCCUCUUCUGGCUGUGCCGGGUGAGAUAUUAAGAGUCUAAUUGGAAUAAUAAAUACAUUUCUCUGGGCUAAAUCCAGAGUCUAUUUGAUUUUAGACUAGGUCAGAAGUAUGACCAGGUGGACAAGGACAGGGACAGCAACGGGCCCCCCAAACCAGGUAAUCCGCAGGUGUGGACCAGGACCUCAUCUCCUCCUAAAAUUUAAAACCGGAGGGGACUGAGAAAAGUUAGUAGUACAUCCAUCAUAUCCCCCAGCACAAUAAUAUAGCAGCUUAAAACACCUUGGAACUUUGGAGACACCUUGGAGACGGGGGGGUCUGGUGACACUGUGGCCCAACCCGGGGGAGGCCCUGGACAGGGCCCUACAGGCAGGAAAUCAAUCCAACCACAUUGCCAGGCAUCAACCAAAGGGACACCCACCAACCGCAACCCCCCUGAAUGAGGGCCGAGUAUUGCUAGCAGCGUACAGCCCAAUUGCACAAGUGCGCAACAGAGAGUCAACAACAAGCCAGUGACUCUUCCCCCGAAAGGCAUUGGAGGGAGGGCAUCCCAGUGGCGACGAGAGCCCACCUGGCAAAACAGCAAGGGUGGACAGUAUCAAGCCUACUGGUCACCUUCACGCCCCCGGGCUAGGCUACACCUAAUUAUAAGCCGUGCUGUAGAGAUGAGUUUUUAGUAGACACUUGAAAGUUUGCACUGAGUUUGCAUUUCUAACCUGAAUUGGCAGAUCAUUCCACAGGAGUGGAGCUCUAUGAGAAAAGGCCCUGCCGCCAACUGUUUGUUUAGAAAUUCUAGGUACAUUUAAAAGGCCUGCAUCUGCCAACAACACUCUUUGUUUUUUUAGUCCUAAAAGGAGCAUUUCUGUUUUAUUUGAGUUUAAAAGCAAGAAAUUCUCUGUCAUCCACUUCCUAAUAUCUGAAACGCAUGCUUCCAAAAUAGCUAAUUUAGGGGCUUCUCCAUGCUUCAUUGAAAUAUAUAACUGUGUGUCAUCAGCAUAACAGUGAAAGUUAAUAUUGUGAUUUCGGAUUACAUCGCCCAGAGGGAGCAUAUAUAGUGAGAACAAUAAUGGGCCCAGAACCGAG